rnacentral:rRNA from 1 species
CUCCUACGGGAGGCAGCAGUGGGGAAUUUUGGACAAUGGGCGCAAGCCUGAUCCAGCAAUGCCGCGUGCAGGAAGAAGGCCUUCGGGUUGUAAACUGCUUUUGUACGGAACGAAAAGGCUCUGGUUAAUACCUGGGGCACAUGACGGUACCGUAAGAAUAAGCACCGGCUAACUACGUGCCAGCAGCCGCGGUAAUACGUAGGGUGCAAGCGUUAAUCGGAAUUACUGGGCGUAAAGCGUGCGCAGGCGGUUUUGUAAGACAGGCGUGAAAUCCCCGGGCUCAACCUGGGAAUUGCGCUUGUGACUGCAAGGCUGGAGUGCGGCAGAGGGGGAUGGAAUUCCGCGUGUAGCAGUGAAAUGCGUAGAUAUGCGGAGGAACACCGAUGGCGAAGGCAAUCCCCUGGGCCUGCACUGACGCUCAUGCACGAAAGCGUGGGGAGCAAACAGGAUUAGAUACCCUGGUAGUCCACGCCCUAAACGAUGUCAACUGGUUGUUGGGUCUCUUCUGACUCAGUAACGAAGCUAACGCGUGAAGUGACC